UGGCACCAACCAGUGAUGGAGCAGGACCACUACAGCUCCUGUUCACCUCCCUGCCACUGCACCUGGAGCAGAAAGGUGCGACUCCAGAAAGAAGCGGGUCUGAAGAAGUACCCAGCCGCUCCGGCAUCCUUGUCCUUCCUCACAGGAGCGAGGGUAGUGAAAGCUAUGAUGUCACCAUCAAGAUGCCCUUGACGUGGUCAUCGAUGACUCAAUCUAUCAGGAACCAGUGCCAUUCAAGUGCCCAUCAAGUCAUCCCUGUUGAAGGGCAGGAUUGAAAUCAUUCUCGUCCAGAGUCUAGCUGGAGGAGAGGAGGGAAGAAUCCAGACUCUAGACAUGUCAACUCAAAAGUUCACCAGGAUGGUGCUCACAGAGGAAACAUGCUCAGGGAAUUGAGGAGGAUCAGCAAAGACACAGGCGACAAGGUGGCUGAUGGGAAAGUAGGGCUGGAGGGAGAAAGCAGGCCAGCCGGGCAGGUGUGGGCAGAGACCUGCCUGCUGCUGCCACUUGCUUUUUGCCCCUGCUGGACGGUCAGGAGGGAUCCCGAGAGGUGGGCCAGUGCCUGCUCCUGGGUCAGGCUGGGAUGACAGCAGGAAACGCCUUCAGUGCCGCUUGAGACGCUCAGCCAUGGACUCCCAGCCAUUGUUCUGCAGGCCCACCUCCUUAACAAGUCCCACUCAGCGAAUGUUCUAGCUCAGAAUAUUA